rnacentral:rRNA from 1 species
AUUCCGGUUGAUCCUGCCGGAGGCCAUUGCUAUCGGAGUCCGAUUUAGCCAUGCUAGUCGCACGGGUUCAGACCCGUGGCAUAUAGCUCAGUAACACGUGGCCAAACUACCCUACAGACCGCGAUAACCUCGGGAAACUGAGGCCAAUAGCGGAUACAGCUCUCACGCUGGAGUGCCGAGAGCUGGAAACGUCCCGGCGCUGUAGGAUGUGGCUGCGGCCGAUUAGGUAGAUGGUGGGGUAACGGCCCACCAUGCCCAUAAUCGGUACAGGUUGUGAGAGCAAGAGCCUGGAGACGGUAUCUGAGACAAGAUACCGGGCCCUACGGGGCGCAGCAGGCGCGAAACCUUUACACUGCACGACAGUGCGAUAAGGGGACUCCGAGUGCGAGGGCAUAUAGUCCUCGCUUUUCUGUACCGUAGGGAGGUACAGGAACAAGUGCUGGGCAAGACCGGUGCCAGCCGCCGCGGUAAUACCGGCAGCACGAGUGAUGGCCGAUCUUAUUGGGCCUAAAGCGUCCGUAGCCGGCCGGACAAGUCCGUUGGGAAAUCGACGCGCUCAACGCGUCGGCGUCCAGCGGAAACUGUUCGGCUUGGGGCCGGAAGACCUGGGGGGUACGUCCGGGGUAGGAGUGAAAUCCUGUAAUCCUGGACGGACCACCAAUGGCGAAAGCACCUCAGGAAGACGGACCCGACGGUGAGGGACGAAAGCUAGGGUCUCGAACCGGAUUAGAUACCCGGGUAGUCCUAGCUGUAAACGAUGCUCGCUAGGUGUGCCGCAGGCUACGAGCCUGCGCUGCGCCCUAGGGAAGCCGAGAAGCGAGCCGCCUGGGAAGUACGUCUGCAAGGAUGAAACUUAAAGGAAUUGGCGGGGGAGCACCACAACCGGAGGAGCCUGCGGUUUAAUUGGACUCAACGCCGGACAUCUCACCGGUCCCGACAGUAGUAACGACGGUCAGGUUGACGACCU